CACAAAGGCUUGGUCCUGGCCUUAAAGUCAAUUUCUACCCAACUUAUACAUGCAAGUCUCCGCGCACCAGUGAAAACGCCCUUUUCCCCAUUUGGAUUAAGGAGCCGGCAUCAGACUCCCCACACUAAAACGCCUAGCUUCGCCACACCCACACGGGCCCUCAGCAGUGAUCAACAUUGAGUAUUAACAUCAGUUAGACUCAGUUAGGGUACUUAGAGCCGGCCAAUCUAGUGCCAGCCGCCGCGGCUACACUAAAGGCUCAAAUUGAUUAUCCAACGGCGUAAAGCGUGACUAAACUCCCCCACCACCCCUAGAAUGAAACCUAAACUAAGUAGUAAUAAGCUUGUUAUUGGGAACCUUAAAACGAAAGUUAUUCUAGACACUUGACUCACGACAGCUGGGAAACAAACUGGGAUUAGAUACCCCACUAUGCCUAGCCGUAAACUUUAACUUACAACCUAACCGCCAGAGAACUACGAGCUUAGCUUAAAACUCAAAGGACUUGACGGUUCUCCAUAUCCCCCUAGAGGAGCCUGUCCUACAAUCGAUAAUCCCCGUUUAACCUCACCCCUUUUAGCUUUUCAGCCUGUAUACUUCCGUCGCAAGCCCACCACGUGAAUGAAACUCAGUCGGCUUAACUGCCCAUUCAGCACAAACGUCAGGUCAAGGUGCAGCAUAUAGAGGGGCAAGAGAUGGGCUACAUUCUCUAAUAUAGAGUAUACGGAAAGCUAAUAUGAAACCUAGCUUAAAGGUGGAUUUAGAAGUAAAGCGGGAGCAGAGCGCCCCCUUUAACCCGGCACUGGAGUGCGUACACACCGCCCGUCACCCUCCUCAAAGCCACUAACAAGUACUUAACACCCCAUAGCUGCAAGAGGAGGCAAGUCGUAACAUGGUAAGCAUACCGGAAGGUGUGCUUGGACA
rnacentral:ncRNA from 1 species